AGUCGAAGUUUGAUUGGAAUUCUAUCUUGGUCAUCCGUCCGGAACGAAGGAGAUGCGUAUGCGCAUAUUUCUAUUUUCACACAAUAUUGCAAAAAUUCAGAGAAAGGCCUUUGGCUUUACAGUUUGAUGUUGAUGCUGCUCGACUGCUAUGUGCUGUGUAUUUUUAAGUAUUAAUCCCUACAGAUUUGAGGACCAUUUUAACCCAACGAGCAAUUGUCUCAUUAGAAACUUGUUUAAAGGGUCUGAUAAACUAAGGAGUAUUUAUGAGUGUAAAGACCUGUGCUGCAAAGUUCUCUGUAGAUAUACUUUCAAGGUCUUCACAACACAUAUGCUUUCGUCCUCGGGGAAUUCAAACAAAUCAAUUGGCUCCAAGUGUUUGCCUGGUUUGGUUGUCUUGAGCUUUUCACUAAUGGUUAUUAUGUAUCUGUCUGGUAAUUCUUGUAUCUCACGAACAUUCAUCUUGUGAAUUGUUUGUCCUCUCUGUCCAGUCGUCAAGCAUAAAAACAUCGUCAAUUUUGCAAACUGCUUGCACUGAUCAGCAAAUGCGCAUGUGCAUCUCAUGGGACUUCUUCGUGACAGGGACUGAUGACAAGAUAGAAUUGCUGUGAUACCUCAGUAACGAGCAUGUAAAAGCAAGAUUAUUUCUCCUUGAUUCGAGCUAUUGUUUUUUCAAAUAUUUU